GCGUGGACAUGUGUGUGUGUGAUACACAGAAACAGUGGCAACUCAGGUGCCUGUUUGCUGCAGAAUAAAGCUUCCUUACAGCCAGUUAAUCCUCUCUACUCACUGGACUUUGCCACCAGACAGAAUUUACUGAGGACAUUUACUGGAGAUUUGUACAACAACGCCUCCAUGCUACUAAACCUCUGCCAGUCCAAAUAAGUUCUUGUGAAGUCCAAUUUAUAACUUGCAAUUCAGACAAGUCACUAUGGACAUGGCAAGUCACCCAGGAUUACAGAGAAGUAGUUCUAUGGACAGUUUAAUUUUAUUCCAACAACAUAGUGAAUAUUCCCGAUCGUUCAUCAGUCUACUAGACAAAUAUGAACCAAGAAUGAGAAUUAUUCUACUAGAGCUGAGAAGGAUUUCUGACAGAGUCAAAGAGCUACACAGUGAAACUAAAAGACGCCGCCUGAUUGGAGGAGCAGUUGGAGCCCUUGGUGUAGGACUGGGAGCGACUGCAGUUGGAGGAUUAUUACUGGGAAAAACUGAAAACACUCGGAAACUAGCUUUAGGAGUUUCAGCUGUACUGGCAUCAAAUGUUAUAAUCUAUGUUGGAUUCAAAGGUGUUUAUGAUUCAAACUCAGAGAUGUUGGCAAAAGAGAGAGAAAUGAUGGAAACUGCAGAUGGGUUAACUAAAGAGUUCAAGGACAUCAUUGAACCUCAAAAGAACACCUUGAAGAAGUUGAAGAAUGUGUUGGAGGAGAUAAAUGAGGGAUCGGCUGAAUUGAGGACAACAGCUGGACCUCAAGCAGAUGCAACUCUCUCAGAAUUUGACCGUUUUCUGGACCUUGUGCAGCAAAUGGAUGAAUCGGCUGUAUGUAACAGAGCUACACUCCUCUAUACACAGUUAGUCAGUCAGUGUGAGAAAACCUAUGAGGAACCCACCAGAAUGAGGGAUGUCCUAAGAGAUUUUGAACAAUGACUGGACAAUGACAUCAACGUUGGAUCAAGAAACACAUGAAGACAGGUUAUUACUGUAGAGUAGUCUCAGAAGCAUUUUUUAUGCCCAAAGAAUCUGGAAACGUAUAGUUCUGUGUAUUAUGAAAUAAAUUCUCCGUUUAUGUUAUAAACAAAGUCAAAUGAUCCUUUAGAUGAGACAUUUCUUCAGAAUGGACACAUUGAUAGACUGAUAUCUUUAUUAAAUUUGUGAUGCAUCAUUAAUCUUUAAGUUAAUAAUAAGGUCGGGCUUCCUCGGAUGCUCAGUGACCUUGUUGUUCUUGUCAGAUCUGUGUGCUUAGUAUCUCUUGCUGCCUUCUCAUAAAACGUCUUUUAGUCAAACUGAUUUUGUUAAAGGAUUUUCUUGGCUGUAGUAACGUUUAUUUGACAGUGAUGUGACAGGAUGAGACACGGAGCAAAGGUCAACGAGGACCUCGAGGAUUGGUGUCAUGCAACUUUUACAUGUGUCCCUCGUCCAACACACUUCAAUUAAACAGCUGAAUCACCUCCUAAGUGCAGUCAUGUUAUCCAGAGUCCUGCUAAUCACCUCAUUAUUUGUCUCUGUUGAAGCAGAGGCAAAAUCUAAAAGUUUCAGGACGCCGACCUGCAAGAUUGGAGUUUAAGACCUCCAGCCUACAGACAGAGUUAUGACCAUGUUUACUGCUGCUUAGUUCAAUUAUUAUUAAAUUAUUAAAAUACAUCACACAGCACAGCUGGGAAGGAGCAGACCAUUCUACGCUGUGUGUGUUCACAAUUGGUGACUGUAUGAUGCUUGAAUGACUUUUCGUUUUCAUGAUGUAAAGCACUUUGAACUGCCUUGUUGCUGAAAUGUGCUAC